GAGAAAAGCUGUACAAAGCGAUGGGUUAUGAUACGUCUUUACUCUACUACAAGAUGAUGGCUAGCGUUGAUGACGCACCCGCACUGUGCCUGGCACAUGGUACACACAUCAACUUAAUCUUCACUAAGCCACAAGGAAGAUCCCACAGGAUGCCCAUCCUACCCAUGAGGAAGCCAUGGCACAGAGAGAUCAAGUACCUUUCAUAAGGUCACACAGCUGGGAGGUGGGAGAGCUGGCUGUGAACGCAAGCAUUGCCCCUUUCCCUCCAGGAAGAGGUCAUUCGCAUUUCUCUGAGAACAUUCCUUUCCUUCUUAAGGGAACAGGAGGGUGCUCUGGUCUCCAGAGGCUCAUUAUCCCCUUGUGACCAGUCUCCACGGUCACCAUCACCCUCCCAGUUCUGAUGGUUGCCCUGGCUGGGAGUUUGCCUGGAGUGGGCACUCAGUCCCCGCUGGCAAGGCUCAGGUCCUCAGGCCUCUGUGGAACAGAUAAGAGCCUGAGUUUCUGAAAGGAGGUGUCCCAGGCAGGAUUGGGACAGAGGCCAAACAGUGGCUCUUGGCCUCUGCCUCCCCCAGACAGGUGGCUUUGGGCUUGGGCACUUCCCGGGAGCCGGCGGGAGGAGGCCGUGACGGUCCCUGGGCUGGCCCCCCGCCCACAGGUGCUCUUGGGGGGCCACGUGGGCAGGAGGGGCAGGGAGCUGCCAGAGGGGCGCCCGCAGGCAGAGCCCGUGAAGAAGGUGUCUGUUGUUUCCUCCUUCGUCUCCGGGAACAAUUCCCCUUUUAAGCUUCUUGGCUAAGACAGUUGAGAGAUUCUUUCUCCAAGGCUUCUUCUUGACAGAUUGAUUUAUCUGUUUCGGUAACUUGGCCGUCCUGCGAAAGGGAGGCUCUGUGCCAGGGCUGGCGUGGGGACCGACCUGGGGGUUUAUCCACUCACCCCUCAGUGACCUUCUGUGCUUCGGAGUCAGGCUGCCAGCUGAACCCUGCCUGCUGAGCGGAGCCCUCCCAGGGGCCAGCCUGCCCAGCCCUGUCCCCGUGCCCCUCCACCCCUGCCAGGCCUCAGCCUGCCACCCCUCUACCCUGCCUUUCCCAGCAAAGGCUGACUGCUGUGGUGAGACCCCCUCUGUGCCCCUGGCCCUGUGGGAAGUCACUGCUGGGGGUUAUCAACAAGCCUUCUUCUGCCUGUUUCCCUCUUCCCCAGAGGCCCCAGCCCACACAGGUUCCUCCUGCUACUUUCUCUCUUAAGAACCCCAAGCAGGAUGUUGGUGCUCUGACAGUUUUGUCUUCUCAGUGACACAUGUGGAAGAGGAGACAAAGAAAAGGCCAUGCACCCCCAGAGGAAUUCUAGAAGUGGACAGGGUGGUUGGCAGGGCUCCACACCCGGGGGCCUGGACCAGCACGGCGUAUUUCGGCCUCCCCCCAAGGCUGCUCCAGCGUCUGGAGGCCCAGGGCAGGGUGCUGGGACACACUGACCUUGAGUCCAGCAGAAUGGGCUAGAAUUCCAGGCUGCCACGUAUCGACUGCUAGGCCUUGGUAAGCUCCCUCUCUCAGACCCUCGCUCUCCCAGUCAUGGCUCACGGAGUAGACAUACAG
rnacentral:lncRNA from 1 species